rnacentral:rRNA from 1 species
AAAGAUUAAGCCAUGCAUGUCUAAGUAUAAGCUUUUAUACAGUGAAACUGCGAAUGGCUCAGUAAAUCAGUUAUGAUCCACUUGACAAAUUUACUACUGGAUAUCCGUGGUAAUUCUAGAGCUAAUACAGUGCAUUCAAUCCCUGAUUAUGAUGGGAGCACUAGUUAGGUUCAUAAGCCAAAAUCGCCAGGGUAACCUGGUAUUGCUUAGUCAUAACUAUUAAGCUGAUCGACCGCAAGGUCGACGGUUCAAUCGAAUUUCUGCCCUAUCAUUGCUUUGUUGGUAGGAUAGAGGCCUACCAUGGCUG